rnacentral:rRNA from 1 species
CGGGAAAAGCUCAAAUUUAAAAUCUGGUGGCCCUUCCGCCAUCCGAGUUGUAAUUUGAAGAAGUGUAUAUCACGUUUUCGUUCGGGUUCAAGUUCCUUGGAAUAGGACAUCAGAGAGGGUGAGAAUCCCGU